rnacentral:rRNA from 1 species
UAGAUUAGUUACUAUUAAAAGUAUAUUCUGCCCCAUGAUAUUUUAAUUAAAUGGCUGCAGUAUUUUAACUGUGCAAAGGUAGCAUAAUAAUUAGCUUUUUUAUUGAAGGCUAGUAUGAAUGAGUGAAUGAGGGAUUAAUUUUAUUAUUUUUAUAAUUAAAAUUUUAUUUUUAAGUAAAAAAGCUUAAUUAUUUUUUUGGGACGAUAAGACCCUAUAGAACUUUAAUUUAAUUAAUUAUUUAGUUAUUUUUGGUUUUAUUAUAAAUAUUGUUAAUUUAUUAACUUUUAGUUGGGGUGACAAAUAAAUUUAAUUAACUUUAUUUAUUUAAUUCAUUUAUUUAUGUUUAUUUUGAUCCAUACUUUGAUUAUAAGAUAAAGUUACCUUAGGGAUAACAGCGUAAUUUUAAUGGGGAGUUCUUAUUUAUAUUAAAGCUUGCGACCUCGAUGUUGAAUUAAAAUAGUUUGGGGGGUAG